UUUGAUGCCUGUUGCGAAAGGGAUGGGGGCUGCAGAGUUCACCGUAUGCUGGUGUCAGGAGCACGGACAGCAGAGCUCCCAGCAGAAGGGCACGGCAGAGGACAAGGGUGGCUGGGGGACAUGGUGGCUCAGCUCCACCCAGCAGAAGUUCCUGCUCAGGGCUCCAGCAAGCACCAGGGCAGGAGGGAAGUGCCCAUCUGUGCACACAUCAGCUGUGCCUCCUGGGGCAUCCCCGCCUGACAAUGCGCCCAGCUGACGCAGGGAGGUGGCAGCUGUGCCUCCACGCUGCAUGGCUUUACUGGGAGCGGGGCUAUAAAAGUGGUAUGGAGUCAAUCCUGUCCUCAUGGAAUCAAGUCUUAAAUCACUACAAUGGGAACACGGCUGAUUCUGAUUCAUUGUACCCUGUUCCCUGUGUUACAUCUACUCUGAAUGUCUGCACUUCUCUUGUCAAAAUAAUCUCCAAUGGAAUCACUGCAAGCAUUUUUUCUACCUAUAUAUUGUCAUAUACUACUUGCCAGUUUUUCUUCUUUUUUUGUUUUGAUGGAAUACACAAAGAUCAGAACAUAACAGAAGGUGCUGAACAGUAUUUGUCCUUUUAUUCCUACACUGCUCAAAUAUUGUUUCACUAAAACUGGAACUUUUCACUCAUGGGAAAGAUUGAUCAAGAUCAGAGAGUACAUACUGAUAUGACUACAGGUAUUGUCAGUUUCAUGAGUGUAUGAAUUUUAAUUGUGCAUUUUGACAAAUGCAAAUUAAAGAACCUGCUUUUCUCUAUUGACUGUCCUUAGGUUAUUAAGUGGAAAUAAUUGAAUCAUAGAAUCACAGAAUGGCCUGGGUUGAAAAGGACCACAGUGAUCAUCGAGUUUCAACCCCGGCUAUGUGCAGGGUCACCAACCACUAGACCAGGCUGCCUAGAGCCACAUCUGGCCUGUACUUGAAUGCCUCCAGGGAUGGGGCAUCCACAGUCUCCUUGGGGCUCAGCUCUGUCCCUAUCAGAAAAAUGAUGCUUUCAGAAUUUUUACAUUAUUUAUGAGAUAGAGUAUUUUUUCUUUGUUUGUUUCUGUGUUUUUGUUUUUGUUCAAUACUAAUAAGGGCUGUGGCUUUAGGAAAACAUAGUUUCUCUGACACUGCCAUGUGAUCAGAUGGCUUACACUGAGCUAAAUAAAUGGUCUUGAAAAUACAUAUUGUUUGAAAUAAAGGACCUUAUUUUCAAGUACUAUGAAGCACAUGGACAUCUCAUAGAAAAAGAACUAUUAGCUGACGCACUGAGAACAGCUUUAAUCCACUCUCCCUAUGAGCUCUUAUGAGCUCAUGGUUCAAAGGACACUUUCAUGUUUUUAUAUUAAGCGCUUAGAAUUCUUUGUGAGCAAAAACUUUUAUAAGGAUUUUCAGCUUUUAAAAAGAGUCUUUCCAAGAUUUCUGUGAGAUUGCUCAAGCAACAUAUCCAGUCCUCAGAACAAUCCCACAAAAUGAAUAAACUUUGACAUACAAGUGCCUAUCACAUCUUGAAAGCGUUUAGCUUUUGAGAACAUUUUGUAGAAGAGUUUUUUGUUACAUGGAUCUUUCAUCCAUUUUCCCAUCCUCAUCCAGCAGCCAAAAUUAUUAUCAGAGAAACCUGUGCAGACCUCACAAAAUAAAAAUGGAGGUGUUACAGAAGGUGAAAGUUCAGUUCUUCAUGUUUAAGUCAGCAAGAGCACUGAGUUCAAGAGAAAGAUUUACUGAAAUCUUCAGUUAGGAGUAAAGGAAGAAAACCUUAUAGGGCCCGCGAAGCUUGUAUUUCCAAACAAGUGUUAAUAAAUCACAGUUCAUCUCAUUUAAAAUCUGUAUAAAAUAAUUUAGAUAAAAUGCACUUAACAGACAUCAAAGUUCUACCUACUUGCAAUAGAUAACCUGAGGCAGAAGUGUCCAAUAUAAGUAGGGUAGUUUCAGCCUUGUAAAAAUCAUGAAAAUACUUUGCAAAGUUGUUUUGAAAAUGUCUUUUGGCAACCCUGAUGACUCCAGGUAUAUACUGAUGGGAUCACAUUAAUGUCUUUGGCUACCUGAGCUUAUCAUUCCUCACAUUAAUAUUAAUGUAAUCAUUUUGGACUUCUUAAUAGACUUCACAGAGUCUUCACGGUUUGUCUUCACAGAGUCACAGUGUUAUUUAUGUAAGAUCUUUUCCAGAGUCUCAGUUUAGUAAAGAUUGGGACUUACAGUGGUAAGGUCACUGUAAUACUGAGGACAAAAGAGAAACACCUCUGGGAAAAUGUCUGGUGUCUUAUGCUGAAUAAUUUCUCUUAUUGUAUAAAUUUCUUAUGCUUUAUAUUUUCAUACUUGUUUAUACUGUGUGGCUCCUGCUCUCAUUAAAAAAAAAAUAUAUAUAUAUAAAAAUAAAUGCUGUAACAUAUCAAUAUUAUUAUCUGCCCUUCUAUAAAUAAAACAGCC
rnacentral:lncRNA from 1 species